rnacentral:rRNA from 1 species
CGCGAAUGGCUCAUUACAACAGCUAAAAUUUACUCGAUCUUGACACAAUCCUACUUGGAUAACUGUGGUAAUUCUAGAGCUAAUACAUGCAUUAAAGCUCUGACCUUCGGGGAAGAGUGCAUUUAUUAGAACAAAACCAAGCGGCUUCGGCUGUUUUCGGUUGACUCAUAGUAACUGAGCUGAUCGCAUGGUCUUGCACCGGCGACGUGUCGUUCAAGUAUCUGCCGUAUCAACUUUCGAUGGUAGUGUAUCUGACUACCAUGGUGAUCACGCGUAACGGAGAAUAAGGGUUCGACUCCGGAGAGUUCGCCUGAGAAAUCGCGAACACAUCUAAGGAAGGCAGCAGGCGCGAAAAUUACCCACUCUCAGCACGAGGAGGUAGUGACGAAAAAUAACGAGACCGUUCUCUUAUGAGGCCGGUCAUCGGAAUGGGUACAAUUUAAACCCUUUAACGAGUAUCUAUGAGAGGGCAAGUCUGGUGCCAGCAGCCGCGGUAAUUCCAGCU